UUAUAGUGUGCGACAGUGGCAUCCAGGCCAGAGGAUCAGGAAGGCCGGAUUCCAUUUCAUUUUCCAGCCUUGCGCCUCCCCUUGCCCCCAGGACACUUCUGCUGGAUUACAACAGGCCAGGCGAAAGGAAUUAGUACUCCACCUCCCAGACGCGCAGUUGCUGGCACAGGAGUUAGAAGAGUGUCAGGUGAAAAAGGAACUCCAUACAGACUGGUCUUACAGCUGCCCUAUUUCACAGAAGUGACAGAUAAUGCUGGGAACCCCCCUCCCCAACACCUUGUAACUAACGGAGUCGCUUUUCUUCCCUGGGAUGCUCUUGGAGUUAAGAAAGAUUUGUUGUAUAACCCUGGCAGCACAUGGCCAUUAGAAAAUACUUAAUUCUGUGACAAUAUGCAAAGGAAAACUGUUGAGAGGUCAGCUAGCUCUGACUGCACGUAUUUUGACUACAAGUACCCGUGACUGAUUGAUCACUCAGUGAAGACUGAGAACUGUGGAAAUUAAUUCAUUGUAUAUCUACAGCACCUCAAUAAGAAUCAUAACUGAAGAGAGCACAAAUUGCUGCAUGUCACUGUACAGGAAGAGAAACGGCAGCUGAUGAGGC
ensembl:lncRNA